CUCAGGAGGCUGAGGGAAAUGUCCUUGUGUCCUUCUGAGACGAGCCUCUCUUGGCAGCAGGGCGCCAGGCUAUGGAGGCCUGAUUGAAACCAGGUCUGAUGCGUUCAGGACGCUUGAUUGGUCUCGUCAAGCCAGCUCUCCGGGGAGUUGGCACGUGGCUGCCAAGCUUCAGAGGCUCUCCUGGUCCCUGCUGUGGCUGGGGCAAGAGCUGCACUGGGCGAUCCCCCUCUGGCUAGACCACAUCUCCGUGUGGCACAGGGCACCCAAAUCCACGGACAAGGAAGAAGAGGCAUUGAAAUGAAUGAGCUGAAUGGAUUCAGAAAGGAGGGAAGGUCCAUCUCUCUUUCUCUCCCUCGUUCUCUCACUCUUUCUCUCAUUCUCCCUCACUCUCUCUCUCUCUCUCUCCUCUCUCUCUCUCUCUCUCUCUCUCCACACACACCCACACGCACACGCAUGCAGAUAGAGUAGGAAACAAGAGCUAGGACCUGGAGAGACAAAUCCAUCCUAAGUCUCUCCUGAGCCUAAGUCUCUCCUUGGGUGGGAGUGGGUUGGAAGGGCCAGCCUGGGGAGGCCCAGCCUGGGAGUGGAUGCUUUGGCCGAGCAGAGUGGAUGUGCAUGCCACACACGGGUGCAGGAGAAUACCUGGGGAAGUCACUCCACUCCAAACGAAGCAUGUCUUUAUCCUCAUCCCUUCCUCCCCGCCAGGGAAUUCGGUCGGGUCCGAUGGGCUAGGCUAGGCCAUCUGGACGGAAUCCACGGAAUCCUUCGGCCCAUCGCUUUUCCCGAGGGGCAGCACUCUCGACCGUGACACCUUCUCUGGGGAGCGCUGUGUCGCUCCUGUGUUGGGGUGGAGUGUUCAGGACUCCUUUUGGCUGGUCGCUGAUCGAAGUGGAUCCAUUGCAGUUUCCCAACCAAGGGAUCCCAUCGGCCAUGUCUAUGCAUCCUGUUUGGCUCCCCUUCUCCUCCCUUGGGUUCCAAGAAGAGGGACUAGACCUCGUAGCGUCUGCUCCAUGGAAGGAGGGCUCUGGCACCCCCCGCAAGGGCAAGGGUUUGGAUCUCGGACCUCCCCAAUUCCAGGCAUGCCCACAGCCUCGCCCUCCCAUUUGGCAAGCACCAUCUGGAGGGCAGUGCAGGGGUUUCUUUCCUGGACGACAGUUCCUGGGUGUCCCUGGUGAGAUGGGCGAGGGAAGGGGUUUCCCAUGGGCUGUGUGUCUCCCUCCCAGACCUCUUUCCUUUCGUGUGAGCAUUUCUCUUCGCAACGCUGUGGCUGCCCAUGGCCCCUUUUGCUGCACAGGUUGAUUGCCGAGUCCGCUUCUGUUGGGGAGAAGGACCGCUGCUGGCUCAGCCAAGCCUCUGUCCAUGGACAUCGAAUGGCUUUCCAUGUGUUGCUCUUGGGAAGAGGGCUUCCUGAACCGAGUGGGGCGUUUCCGGCUGAGAAGAGACCCUUUGUCUGGGUAUAUGGCCGUGAGGGGUAGUGCUGGGUCUGGCGGUGGUUGCAGGGUUCUUUUGGGGGUGCCGUGGAUCCUGUGGCCCAUCGUGGUGGAACAAACGGUCGCACACGCCCACCCGGUGUGAGGGCACCUUCUUUUCCACAGCCUGCCCUGGGGUUGUCAUUGAAAGGCGUCCUCAGGAUGGCCAUGGGGACAGGGCUGAGGAGGGCACUCGACCUGGUUGGGGUGUGGACUUCUCUAGGCAUGCGUGAUGGUGUUCCUUUGUGUGGUGCUGGAUGCCGGCUGGCCACCUGGAUUUGGCAGGGUUUCUUCAGGCCCCCUCCCCACCUGUGGCCUGGGUGGGUGGGUUUCUGCUGUCGUUCGUGGGUUCCGUGCUGGAGCUGAUCGGUGUGGAAGCCCAGCGUGGCCUGGGUUUUGGGAUGAGCAUCAGGGGGCUGUGAGGGGUGCCCGGGUGGUGCCCAAAGGGAGAGCGAAUUGGGAGAGCAGCAGUGCCAGGCGCUGGGCGUUGUCUCUCAAGAGGGCUCAGGCACCUCCCUUGUUCUUUCCAAGGGAGGCUCGUCUCUUCUUUCUAUGCACCUGGUGAGAUGACGGGAGCUCGAGCCAGGCCGGGCAUCUGCAGGCCGCUCUCUUGACGGAUCCACCAAAGCUGUGCCUGAGCGUCCUUCUGGCCCCCUGGGGAGAAGGGCUGAUUGGGUUGGUUUUGUGUGGUUGGGAACCUCUGUGCCUUGGGAAGCACCAGUGGGCAUCCAGAUCAGGUGCAGUCCAGGUGGGGUCAAGAGAGUUUGAAAACAAAGGGAGAAAGGGAGACCUGGCAAGAUGAACCAAGGCAGAAGGAAAGAAUCGAGGCAAGACUUAAAGGCAAGGAGUAUGGAAUCCCAGGGGGAUCCUGAAGGGGGAAAACGACUCGUUCCAUCCUUCCACACCUCUCUUCCUAUCUCCAUAUGGGCAAGGCUCUAUCCACACGGCAGCAGGCUGGCACAGCCUGAUGGAUUUGGAGCGAAGGCUUUCCACGGCGAGGCACGGCCUAGGUUGGCAUCGGCACGAAGAAGGCCUUUGAGAGAGGGAGCGAGAGCCCAGGUGGAAGGGCCCUUCUUGGCGGGGGAUGGAGCCCCCACCCUCGUCUGGGCCCCAGCCCCAGCCCCAGCAGCCCCGGGGACUGCUGAGCCCGAGAGAGAAGGAGAGGCUGAGAGGGGCUGUUCGAGCCUAUGUCCACACGAGGGCGCCAGAGCCCCUUCCGGUCCCAGGGGCAGCUCAGAGGCUCUAAGUGGUGGGAGGGGCAAGGCUCCAAAGGCGCAGGCUCCACGUCGGGGGCGGAUGGAGGCUUGAGCGGGACGCACCCACAGCAGGCCCCCAGAGGACGUGCGGGUGUUUCCUGGGCAGCAGGGACUCUCUCCUGCGAGACACCUCCUGUCAGCUGGAGGGCGGAGGUGUCCCUUCCGGAUUUGGAGGGAAUUCGGUCGGGUCCGAUGGGCUAGGCUAGGCCAUCUGGACGGAAUCCACGGAAUCCUUCGGCCCAUCGCUUUUCCCGAGGGGCAGCACUCUCGACCGUGACACCUUCUCUGGGGAGCGCUGUGUCGCUCCUGUGUUGGGGUGGAGUGUUCAGGACUCCUUUUGGCUGGUCGCUGAUCGAAGUGGAUCCAUUGCAGUUUCCCAACCAAGGGAUCCCAUCGGCCAUGUCUAUGCAUCCUGUUUGGCUCCCCUUCUCCUCCCUUGGGUUCCAAGAAGAGGGACUAGACCUCGUAGCGUCUGCUCCAUGGAAGGAGGGCUCUGGCACCCCCCGCAAGGGCAAGGGUUUGGAUCUCGGACCUCCCCAAUUCCAGGCAUGCCCACAGCCUCGCCCUCCCAUUUGGCAAGCACCAUCUGGAGGGCAGUGCAGGGGUUUCUUUCCUGGACGACAGUUCCUGGGUGUCCCUGGUGAGAUGGGCGAGGGAAGGGGUUUCCCAUGGGCUGUGUGUCUCCCUCCCAGACCUCUUUCCUUUCGUGUGAGCAUUUCUCUUCGCAACGCUGUGGCUGCCCAUGGCCCCUUUUGCUGCACAGGUUGAUUGCCGAGUCCGCUUCUGUUGGGGAGAAGGACCGCUGCUGGCUCAGCCAAGCCUCUGUCCAUGGACAUCGAAUGGCUUUCCAUGUGUUGCUCUUGGGAAGAGGGCUUCCUGAACCGAGUGGGGCGUUUCCGGCUGAGAAGAGACCCUUUGUCUGGGUAUAUGGCCGUGAGGGGUAGUGCUGGGUCUGGCGGUGGUUGCAGGGUUCUUUUGGGGGUGCCGUGGAUCCUGUGGCCCAUCGUGGUGGAACAAACGGUCGCACACGCCCACCCGGUGUGAGGGCACCUUCUUUUCCACAGCCUGCCCUGGGGUUGUCAUUGAAAGGCGUCCUCAGGAUGGCCAUGGGGACAGGGCUGAGGAGGGCACUCGACCUGGUUGGGGUGUGGACUUCUCUAGGCAUGCGUGAUGGUGUUCCUUUGUGUGGUGCUGGAUGCCGGCUGGCCACCUGGAUUUGGCAGGGUUUCUUCAGGCCCCCUCCCCACCUGUGGCCUGGGUGGGUGGGUUUCUGCUGUCGUUCGUGGGUUCCGUGCUGGAGCUGAUCGGUGUGGAAGCCCAGCGUGGCCUGGGUUUUGGGAUGAGCAUCAGGGGGCUGUGAGGGGUGCCCGGGUGGUGCCCAAAGGGAGAGCGAAUUGGGAGAGCAGCAGUGCCAGGCGCUGGGCGUUGUCUCUCAAGAGGGCUCAGGCACCUCCCUUGUUCUUUCCAAGGGAGGCUCGUCUCUUCUUUCUAUGCACCUGGUGAGAUGACGGGAGCUCGAGCCAGGCCGGGCAUCUGCAGGCCGCUCUCUUGACGGAUCCACCAAAGCUGUGCCUGAGCGUCCUUCUGGCCCCCUGGGGAGAAGGGCUGAUUGGGUUGGUUUUGUGUGGUUGGGAACCUCUGUGCCUUGGGAAGCACCAGUGGGGAUCCCAGAUCAGGCGCAGUCCAGGUGGGGUCAAGAGAGUUUGAAAACAAAGGGAGAAAGGGAGACCUGGCAAGAUGAACCAAGGCAGAAGGAAAGAAUCGAGGCAAGACUUAAAGGCAAGGAGUAUGGAAUCCCAGGGGGAUCCUGAAGGGGGAAAACGACUCGUUCCAUCCUUCCACACCUCUCUUCCUAUCUCCAUAUGGGCAAGGCUCUAUCCACACGGCAGCAGGCUGGCACAGCCUGAUGGAUUUGGAGCGAAGGCUUUCCACGGCGAGGCACGGCCUAGGUUGGCAUCGGCACGAAGAAGGCCUUUGAGAGAGGGAGCGAGAGCCCAGGUGGAAGGGCCCUUCUUGGCGGGGGAUGGAGCCCCCACCCUCGUCUGGGCCCCAGCCCCAGCCCCAGCAGCCCCGGGGACUGCUGAGCCCGAGAGAGAAGGAGAGGCUGAGAGGGGCUGUUCGAGCCUAUGUCCACACGAGGGCGCCAGAGCCCCUUCCGGUCCCAGGGGCAGCUCAGAGGCUCUAAGUGGUGGGAGGGGCAAGGCUCCAAAGGCGCAGGCUCCACGUCGGGGGCGGAUGGAGGCUUGAGCGGGACGCACCCACAGCAGGCCCCCAGAGGACGUGCGGGUGUUUCCUGGGCAGCAGGGACUCUCUCCUGCGAGACACCUCCUGUCAGCUGGAGGGCGGAGGUGUCCCUUCCGGAUUUGGAGGGAAUUCGGUCGGGUCCGAUGGGCUAGGCUAGGCCAUCUGGACGGAAUCCACGGAAUCCUUCGGCCCAUCGCUUUUCCCGAGGGGCAGCACUCUCGACCGUGACACCUUCUCUGGGGAGCGCUGUGUCGCUCCUGUGUUGGGGUGGAGUGUUCAGGACUCCUUUUGGCUGGUCGCUGAUCGAAGUGGAUCCAUUGCAGUUUCCCAACCAAGGGAUCCCAUCGGCCAUGUCUAUGCAUCCUGUUUGGCUCCCCUUCUCCUCCCUUGGGUUCCAAGAAGAGGGACUAGACCUCGUAGCGUCUGCUCCAUGGAAGGAGGGCUCUGGCACCCCCCGCAAGGGCAAGGGUUUGGAUCUCGGACCUCCCCAAUUCCAGGCAUGCCCACAGCCUCGCCCUCCCAUUUGGCAAGCACCAUCUGGAGGGCAGUGCAGGGGUUUCUUUCCUGGACGACAGUUCCUGGGUGUCCCUGGUGAGAUGGGCGAGGGAAGGGGUUUCCCAUGGGCUGUGUGUCUCCCUCCCAGACCUCUUUCCUUUCGUGUGAGCAUUUCUCUUCGCAACGCUGUGGCUGCCCAUGGCCCCUUUUGCUGCACAGGUUGAUUGCCGAGUCCGCUUCUGUUGGGGAGAAGGACCGCUGCUGGCUCAGCCAAGCCUCUGUCCAUGGACAUCGAAUGGCUUUCCAUGUGUUGCUCUUGGGAAGAGGGCUUCCUGAACCGAGUGGGGCGUUUCCGGCUGAGAAGAGACCCUUUGUCUGGGUAUAUGGCCGUGAGGGGUAGUGCUGGGUCUGGCGGUGGUUGCAGGGUUCUUUUGGGGGUGCCGUGGAUCCUGUGGCCCAUCGUGGUGGAACAAACGGUCGCACACGCCCACCCGGUGUGAGGGCACCUUCUUUUCCACAGCCUGCCCUGGGGUUGUCAUUGAAAGGCGUCCUCAGGAUGGCCAUGGGGACAGGGCUGAGGAGGGCACUCGACCUGGUUGGGGUGUGGACUUCUCUAGGCAUGCGUGAUGGUGUUCCUUUGUGUGGUGCUGGAUGCCGGCUGGCCACCUGGAUUUGGCAGGGUUUCUUCAGGCCCCCUCCCCACCUGUGGCCUGGGUGGGUGGGUUUCUGCUGUCGUUCGUGGGUUCCGUGCUGGAGCUGAUCGGUGUGGAAGCCCAGCGUGGCCUGGGUUUUGGGAUGAGCAUCAGGGGGCUGUGAGGGGUGCCCGGGUGGUGCCCAAAGGGAGAGCGAAUUGGGAGAGCAGCAGUGCCAGGCGCUGGGCGUUGUCUCUCAAGAGGGCUCAGGCACCUCCCUUGUUCUUUCCAAGGGAGGCUCGUCUCUUCUUUCUAUGCACCUGGUGAGAUGACGGGAGCUCGAGCCAGGCCGGGCAUCUGCAGGCCGCUCUCUUGACGGAUCCACCAAAGCUGUGCCUGAGCGUCCUUCUGGCCCCCUGGGGAGAAGGGCUGAUUGGGUUGGUUUUGUGUGGUUGGGAACCUCUGUGCCUUGGGAAGCACCAGUGGGCAUCCAGAUCAGGUGCAGUCCAGGUGGGGUCAAGAGAGUUUGAAAACAAAGGGAGAAAGGGAGACCUGGCAAGAUGAACCAAGCCAGAAGGAAAGAAUCGAGGCAAGACUUAAAGGCAAGGAGUAUGGAAUCCCAGGGGGAUCCUGAAGGGGGAAAACGACUCGUUCCAUCCUUCCACACCUCUCUUCCUAUCUCCAUAUGGGCAAGGCUCUAUCCACACGGCAGCAGGCUGGCACAGCCUGAUGGAUUUGGAGCGAAGGCUUUCCACGGCGAGGCACGGCCUAGGUUGGCAUCGGCACGAAGAAGGCCUUUGAGAGAGGGAGCGAGAGCCCAGGUGGAAGGGCCCUUCUUGGCGGGGGAUGGAGCCCCCACCCUCGUCUGGGCCCCAGCCCCAGCCCCAGCAGCCCCGGGGACUGCUGAGCCCGAGAGAGAAGGAGAGGCUGAGAGGGGCUGUUCGAGCCUAUGUCCACACGAGGGCGCCAGAGCCCCUUCCGGUCCCAGGGGCAGCUCAGAGGCUCUAAGUGGUGGGAGGGGCAAGGCUCCAAAGGCGCAGGCUCCACGUCGGGGGCGGAUGGAGGCUUGAGCGGGACGCACCCACAGCAGGCCCCCAGAGGACGUGCGGGUGUUUCCUGGGCAGCAGGGACUCUCUCCUGCGAGACACCUCCUGUCAGCUGGAGGGCGGAGGUGUCCCUUCCGGAUUUGGAGGGAAUUCGGUCGGGUCCGAUGGGCUAGGCUAGGCCAUCUGGACGGAAUCCACGGAAUCCUUCGGCCCAUCGCUUUUCCCGAGGGGCAGCACUCUCGACCGUGACACCUUCUCUGGGGAGCGCUGUGUCGCUCCUGUGUUGGGGUGGAGUGUUCAGGACUCCUUUUGGCUGGUCGCUGAUCGAAGUGGAUCCAUUGCAGUUUCCCAACCAAGGGAUCCCAUCGGCCAUGUCUAUGCAUCCUGUUUGGCUCCCCUUCUCCUCCCUUGGGUUCCAAGAAGAGGGACUAGACCUCGUAGCGUCUGCUCCAUGGAAGGAGGGCUCUGGCACCCCCCGCAAGGGCAAGGGUUUGGAUCUCGGACCUCCCCAAUUCCAGGCAUGCCCACAGCCUCGCCCUCCCAUUUGGCAAGCACCAUCUGGAGGGCAGUGCAGGGGUUUCUUUCCUGGACGACAGUUCCUGGGUGUCCCUGGUGAGAUGGGCGAGGGAAGGGGUUUCCCAUGGGCUGUGUGUCUCCCUCCCAGACCUCUUUCCUUUCGUGUGAGCAUUUCUCUUCGCAACGCUGUGGCUGCCCAUGGCCCCUUUUGCUGCACAGGUUGAUUGCCGAGUCCGCUUCUGUUGGGGAGAAGGACCGCUGCUGGCUCAGCCAAGCCUCUGUCCAUGGACAUCGAAUGGCUUUCCAUGUGUUGCUCUUGGGAAGAGGGCUUCCUGAACCGAGUGGGGCGUUUCCGGCUGAGAAGAGACCCUUUGUCUGGGUAUAUGGCCGUGAGGGGUAGUGCUGGGUCUGGCGGUGGUUGCAGGGUUCUUUUGGGGGUGCCGUGGAUCCUGUGGCCCAUCGUGGUGGAACAAACGGUCGCACACGCCCACCCGGUGUGAGGGCACCUUCUUUUCCACAGCCUGCCCUGGGGUUGUCAUUGAAAGGCGUCCUCAGGAUGGCCAUGGGGACAGGGCUGAGGAGGGCACUCGACCUGGUUGGGGUGUGGACUUCUCUAGGCAUGCGUGAUGGUGUUCCUUUGUGUGGUGCUGGAUGCCGGCUGGCCACCUGGAUUUGGCAGGGUUUCUUCAGGCCCCCUCCCCACCUGUGGCCUGGGUGGGUGGGUUUCUGCUGUCGUUCGUGGGUUCCGUGCUGGAGCUGAUCGGUGUGGAAGCCCAGCGUGGC